rnacentral:rRNA from 1 species
CCUACGGGUGGCAGCAGUAGGGAAUCUUCCACAAUGGGCGCAAGCCUGAUGGAGCAACACCGCGUGAGUGAAGAAGGGUUUCGGCUCGUAAAGCUCUGUUGUUGGAGAAGAACGUGCGUGAGAGUAACUGUUCACGCAGUGACGGUAUCCAACCAGCAAGUCACGGCUAACUACGUGCCAGCAGCCGCGGUAAUACGUAGGUGGCAAGCGUUAUCCGGAUUUUUUGGGCGUAAAUCGAGCGCAGGCGGUUGCUUAGGUCUGAUGUGAAAGCCUUCGGCUUAACCGAAGAAGUGCAUCGGAAACCGGGCAACUUGAGGGCAGAAGAGGACAGUGGAACUCCAUGUGUAGCGGUGGAAUGCGGAGAUAUAUGGAAGAACACCAGUGGCGAAGGCGGCUGUCUGGUCUGCAACUGACGCUGAGGCUCGAAAGCAUGGGUAGCGAACAGGAUUAGAUACCCUUGUAGUC